AGUGAACGCUGGCGGUAGGCCUAACACAUGCAAGUCGAACGGCAGCACAGUAAGAGCUUGCUCUUACGGGUGGCGAGUGGCGGGCGGGUGAGGAAUACAUCGGAAUCUACUUUUUCGUGGGGGAUAACGUAGGGAAACUUACGCUAAUACCGCAUACGACCUACGGGUGAAAGCAGGGGAUCUUCGGACCUUGCGCGAUUGAAUGAGCCGAUGUCGGAUUAGCUAGUUGGCGGGGUAAAGGCCCACCAAGGCGACGAUCCGUAGCUGGUCUGAGAGGAUGAUCAGCCACACUGGAACUGAGACACGGUCCAGACUCCUACGGGAGGCAGCAGUGGGGAAUAUUGGACAAUGGGCGCAAGCCUGAUCCAGCCAUACCGCGUGGGUGAAGAAGGCCUUCGGGUUGUAAAGCCCUUUUGUUGGGAAAGAAAAGCAGCAGGUUAAUACCCCGCUGUUCUGGCGGUACCCAAAGAAUAAGCACCGGCUAACUUCGU
rnacentral:rRNA from 1 species